rnacentral:rRNA from 1 species
UACAGAGGGUGCGAGCGUUAAUCGGAAUUACUGGGCGUAAAGCGUGCGUAGACGGUAGCGUAAGUCAGAUGUGAAAGCCCCGGGCUCAACCUGGGAACUGCAUUUGAGACUGCUCUGCUCGGGUGCGGAAGAGGGAAGCGGAAUUUCCGGUGUAGCGGUGAAAUGCGUAGAUAUCAGGAGGAACACCUGUGGUGUAGACGGCUUUCUGGACCGUAGCUGACGCUGAGACACGAAAGCGUGGGUAGCAAACAGG